UCUGAUUCAUGACAUGCCUAGUAUCCAAGUGUUUGGAGAGAAAAGUGAAACGAGCAAGCCUGUCGAUGGUGAUGAUGAAGAUGGCAAUGAAGAUGGGGACGGAGAAGAGGACGGUGCUGUCGGGGAGGGUGACGAAGAACCAUCUGAGGAUGACGGGGAGGGAUACGAGAACCCCAAUAAUAACAGUGGCAAGAAAGCCCCUGGCGACGGUGCUGGUGGUGAAGAAAACGGAGAGGAUGAUGAUGAAGAGGCCGAGGAUCCAGAGGACGGGGAUGACGACGACGAUGAUGAAGAAGAUGAGGAUGACGAUGAUGGUGGAGAGGACGAGGACGAGGGUGUGGAAGACGACGAGGAGAACGAGGAUGAAGAGGAAGACGACGAGGAAGAGGAGCUUCAACCUCCUAAGAAGAGGAAGAAGUGAGCGUGGUCGAAGUCGGGCUCGGUUUUAGUUGUAGCUUCUCUUGCUCUUUCGCAGUUCAGUCCGUUCGACCUCGCCGUGUGCCCUAACCCUGGUUUCAUUUCAGGAUUCAUAACGACAGACCGUUGUGGUGUUGGCCUAUGUAGGAGUACUAUUUCCUAAUGCAUCAGAGAGAACUUUGUCAAAUUUUGAUUUGUCUCUCUCAGUUAUUUAAGCUAACAAACUCUAAACUAUGCUGCUUCAAUUUGGUAUCAGAUUUUAACAAUGUAGUCAAAUGCAGCUCACUUUUCCCUCCUUGUUUGGGUCCAUAUGCAUGCAUGUCUCUUAUCUAAACUUUUAUGUGGUUGAAAUCUGGUGCUUGUGGCAACAGGUGAAACACAGCUUGAAGAUGAG
rnacentral:lncRNA from 1 species